UUACAGAAAAACUAAACUAGACUAAACUUGAUGAAAACUUAAUCACUUUACAGAAGGAGAAAUUAGUGAUGGGUAAGGCUUUGGAGCUUGUGGCGCUCUUCCUGAAGCGGAGUGGUUCGAAACACUGUGUCGGAGCUUGUAUCACAAUCAUUGCUUCAAAAUGUUUCGAAGCGCUUCAUCAAAAUGGAGUUGUGAGGAGAUUAGGAGAGUGAAAGGAGAUUUGGAGAUUUGAAAAUUCGAAGUUAUUGUCAUGGCAAGUACAAGCACUAUGCGGCAUUCUAAAGUUUGGGAUCAUUGGGAUCUAAUACCACCAAAUAAGAUAUAAUCCAGUUCAUGGCCUACAUUCUAUAUUUCCAUUAUUGAAUUGGAUUUUUCAUUUUUAAAUGGGUCUCAAAUGUACAAUUACUUGUAGGUGCGGUGUUUGCUCUGCACACAAGAGUUGUCUUACAACAACAACACGUCAUCCAUGCUGAGACACUUGCGUGCCAGGCAUGACAUGCCGAGCAAAGCAGUGACCCUGUCAACACUGGGACUCUUGACUUGUCAAGAAACCAGAAGCUGGAUGAGGCCCUGGUGGACAUGAUAGUUAAAGAUGGCCAGCCUUUUUCUAUCGUUGUUCAAGAGGUGGAAACUAGAUGGAACAGCACUUAUGCCAUGCUCCAUAGGCUUUGUGAGCAGCGAGAACCAUUAGGGGCAUCCCUGGCAUCCCUUAGCACUGACAUAGUGCCAUUCACUGCAGAUGAAUAUGCAGCAGUCAACCAAUGCCUGACAGUUUUAAGGCCAUUCUAUCAGGCAACUGUUGAGCUCUCUGAGGAAAAGAGAGUGUCAGGGUCAAAGGCCAUACCUCUUGCAAAAAUGUUAAGACACGUCAUUUCGGUCGAAUGUGCCCAAAUGGCUCCUUGUAUUGGUGCCACACUGGCAUUUAAAAAACAAUUUGUGUGAGAAAUUCAGUGACCUGGAAAAGGUGACCUCCCUGUCAGUGGCCACCAUCUUGGAUCCACGGUGCACCGGCCUUAUUGAUGGGUCGACGGACGUAGUGCCACAUGAGACUGCAACAGCAUGUACCAGUGCCAGCGGCAGUGAACUACAAUUUGUGGGCUUUGCUGGACAAAUAUGUUCAGUCACAGCACCACACCAGCAGUGCAUCUGCCAGUGCUACAGUGGAGAUCCAGAGAUAUUUAAAAGAGCAAAAUCUGGCAAGAGCAGAGGAUCCCCUGAAGUACUGGGUGGGAUGUAUCACGUUAUAUCCUACGCUGUGGAAACUUGUAUGCAAGUAUCUGUGUAUCCAGCAUCAUCCGUUGCCUGCGAAAGGAUUUCUCCAAAGCUG